AAACCAACAGGGAUUGCCCUAGUAACGGCGAGUGAAGCGGCAACAGCUCAAAUUUGAAAUCUGGCGCAAGCCCGAGUUGUAAUUUGUAGAGGAUGCUUCUGGGUAGCGACCGAUCUAAGUUCCUUGGAACAGGACGUCAUAGAGGGUGAGAAUCCCGUAUGUGACCGGCCCGCACCCUUUACGUAGCUCCUUCGACGAGUCGAGUUGUUUGGGAAUGCAGCUCUAAAUGGGAGGUAAAUUUCUUCUAAAGCUAAAUACCGGCCAGAGACCGAUAGCGCACAAGUAGAGUGAUCGAAAGAUGAAAAGUACUUUGGAAAGAGAGUUAAAAAGCACGUGAAAUUGUUGAAAGGGAAGCGCCUGCAACCAGACUUCGCGGCAGUGUUCCGCCGGUCUUCUGACCGGUUCAUUCUCUGUCGCGAGGCCAUCAUCGUCUGGGCCCGCCGGAUAAGACCUGAGGAAUGUGGCUCCCCCUCGGGGGAGUGUUAUAGCCUCUGGUGAUGCGGCGUGGCUCGGGCGAGGUCCGCGCUUCGGCAAGGAUGAUGGCGUAAUGGUUGUCGGCGGCCCGUCUUGAAACACGGACCAAGGAGUCUAACAUCUAUGCGAGUGUUCGGGUGUCAAACCCCUACGCGUAAUGAAAGUGAACGGAGGUGGGAACCGCAAGGUGCACCAUCGACCGAUCCUGAUGUCCUCGGAUGGAUUUGAGUAAGAGCAUAGCUGUUGGGACCCGAAAGAUGGUGAACUAUGCCUGAAUAGGGUGAAGCCAGAGGAAACUCUGGUGGAGGCUCGCAGCGGUUCUGACGUGCAAAUCGAUCGUCAAAUUUGGGUAUAGGGGCGAAAGACUAAU
rnacentral:rRNA from 1 species